CCUACGGGUGGCAGCAGUGAGGAAUAUUGGUCAAUGGGCUUACGCCUGAACCAGCCAAGUCGCGUGAGGGAAGACUGCCCUAUGGGUUGUAAACCUCUUUUGUCAGGGAGCAACGCCGGCUACGUGUAGCCGGACUGAGAGUACCCGACGUAAAAGCAUCGGCUAACUUCUUGCCAGCAGCCGCGGUAAUACGGAGGAUGCGAGGGGUAUCCGGAUUUAUCGGGUUAAAAGGGUGCGUAGGCGGAAUGCCAAGUCAGCGGUAAAAUCGCGGGGCUCAACCUCGUUCCGCCGUUGAAACUGGCGUUCUUGAGUAGGCGAGAGGUAUGCGGAAUGCGUGGUGUAGCGGUGAAAUGCAUAGAUAUCACGCAGAACACCGAUUGCGAAGGCAGCAUACCGGCGCCCAACUGACGCUGAAGCGCGAAAGCGUGGGUAGCGAACAGGAUUAGAUACCCGAGUAGUC
rnacentral:rRNA from 1 species